rnacentral:rRNA from 1 species
GACGAACGCUGGCGGCGUGCCUAAUACAUGCAAGUAGAACGCUGAAGAGAGGAGCUUGCUCUUCUUGGAUGAGUUGCGAACGGGUGAGUAACGCGUAGGUAACCUGCCUGGUAGCGGGGGAUAACUAUUGGAAACGAUAGCUAAUACCGCAUGAUAUUAAUUAUUGCAUGAUAAUUGAUUGAAAGAUGCAAUUGCAUCACUACCAGAUGGACCUGCGUUGUAUUAGCUAGUUGGUGAGGUAACGGCUCACCAAGGCGACGAUACAUAGCCGACCUGAGAGGGUGAUCGGCCACACUGGGACUGAGACACGGCCCAGACUCCUACGGGAGGCAGCAGUAGGGAAUCUUCGGCAAUGGGGGGAACCCUGACCGAGCAACGCCGCGUGAGUGAAGAAGGUUUUCGGAUCGUAAAGCUCUGUUGUAAAGAGAAAGAAACGGGUGUGAGAGUGGAAAAG